GAUUGCAUGGCGCAGCCGGUAGCGCUGCUGCCUGUCAAUCUGAUUGCGCGGGUUCGACUCCCGACACCUCAAAACC